CCUACGGGAGGCAGCAGUGAGGAAUAUUGGUCAAUGGUCGCGAGACUGAACCAGCCAAGUCGCGUGAAGGAUGACUGCACUACGGGUUGUAAACUUCUUUUAUCAAGGAAUAAAGUGAGGCACGUGUGCCUUUUUGUAUGUACUUUAUGAAUAAGGAUCGGCUAACUCCGUGCCAGCAGCCGCGGUAAUACGGAGGAUCCGAGCGUUAUCCGGAUUUAUUGGGUUUAAAGGGUGCGUAGAUGGGUUGUUAAGUCAGUUGUGAAAGUUUGCGGCUCAACCGUAAAAUUGCAUUUGAUACUGGCAGCCUUGAGUACAGGAGAGGUAGGCGGAAUGCGUGGUGUAGCGGUGAAAUGCUUAGAUAUCACGAAGAACUCCGAUUGCGAAGGCAGCUUAC
rnacentral:rRNA from 1 species